UACGAAGGGGGCUAGCGUUGUUCGGAAUUACUGGGCGUAAAGCGUGCGCAGGCGGCUUCUCAAGUCAGGGGUGAAAGCCCAGAGCUCAACUCUGGAAUUGCCUUUGAGACUGAGAGGCUUGAGUACGGGAGAGGUGAGUGGAAUUCCGAGUGUAGAGGUGAAAUUCGUAGAUAUUCGGAAGAACACCAGUGGCGAAGGCGACUUCCUGGCCUGUUCUUGACGCUGAGGCGCGAAAGCUAGGGGAGCAAACGGG
rnacentral:rRNA from 1 species